rnacentral:rRNA from 1 species
UACGAAGGGGGCUAGCGUUGCUCGGAAUCACUGGGCGUAAAGGGUGCGUAGGCGGGUCUUUAAGUCAGAGGUGAAAGCCCGGGGCUCAACUCCGGAAUUGCCUUUAAGACUGCAUCGCUAGAAUUGUGGAGAGGUAAGUGGAAUUCCGAGUGUAGAGGUGAAAUUCGUAGAUAUUCGGAAGAACACCAGUGGCGAAGGCGACUUACUGGACACAUAUUGACGCUGAGGUGCGAAAGCGUGGGGAGCAAACAGG